AUGAAUGAGAGAUCUUGUUCUGUUGGGACUGAGAAAAAACUAUGAGAUGGACAGGUGGAAAGUGUCUCUGCUGGGCACUCCUCAUUGUACAAGGACAGUGGCUCACUCAUGACUUUCAGAGGAGUUCCGAUCUCAGAGCUGAAGAACCAUGGCAUUCUCCAGGCCCUGACCACAGAAACCAAUGGAUGGCAGCCAGGUGGAACCACCUGAACUGGUUCUCCUGACCUUUUCUAAUGCCAGGAUUGGGAACAUGGAUCUUUCCAGAAUGUGUGCCCUGGUCGAAGCUUUUGUCUGGAGUUGUAUUCUCGACUGGAUUCCUUGGCUUCAUCAUUCAGGCCACACUCCGUCUGCCUCUGCCUUCAUCAUGUCCUCUGUGUUCCAGCUUCUCCUGGUUCUCUUGGUUAGUUUUCCUC